rnacentral:rRNA from 1 species
UACGGGGGGGGCAAGCGUUAUCCGGAUUCACUGGGUUUAAAGGGUGCGUAGGCGGGCAGGUAAGUCAGUGGUGAAAUCUCCAAGCUUAACUUGGAAACUGCCGUUGAUACUAUCUGUCUUGAAUACUGUGGAGGUGAGCGGAAUAUGUCAUGUAGCGGUGAAAUGCUUAGAUAUGACAUAGAACACCAAUUGCGAAGGCAGCUCACUACACAGCCAUUGACGCUGAGGCACGAAAGCGUGGGGAGCAAACAGG